GUUAGAGCAGCCCAGUUCAGCCCUAUGUGGUAUGUGAGGGUAUUCACAGCGAAAAGCAGGGGUCCUGGAUCAGCCUCUCUCUCCCUCCCUCAAAGGCACAGUGGAUUCUGCUGUACAGAACAGGGAGCACUGCAUCUCAGGAAGCCUGCAAGGGAAGGACACAGGACAAUUACAUCACAGGAUACCCCUCCCAUCAGGAAAAGUGAGGCUGAGAACUCAGCUCCUCCCCAGGAGGACCGAGCCCUGAGCACAGGCAGAGUGUUGCCUGACCCUUCGUGCCAUGGGCUUCAGGCUGCUCUGUUGGGUGCUGCUUUGUCUCCCGGGAGCAGGCCUGGGAGAGGCUCAAGUCACCCAAACUCCAAGACACCUGAUCAAAAUGAGAGGACAGCAAGUGACACUGAGGUGCUCCCCUAUCUCUGGGCAUAACAGUGUGUACUGGUACCAACAGGCCCCAGGACAGGGCCCUCAGUUCAUCUUUGAAUACUACAAUGCGAUGCCGAGACAACAGGGAAACUUCCCUGCUCGAUUCUCAGGGCUCCAGUUCUCUAACUAUAGCUCUGAGAUGAAUGUGAGCGCCUUGGAGCUGGGGGACUCGGCCCUUUAUCUUUGUGCCAGCAGCUUGGCACAGCCCUACAAAGCCAACCACAUUCUGUGCACAAACCUCCCUGGCCCAAUGUGGAGCAACCUCAGCCCUGACGUAUCUGUGAGAAUCUGGGGACUGCAGGGGGAAAGAAAGGACAAGGGAUCUCAUUUUGCGGUCAAGAUUGUUGAUAACAGCAUAGUGUAG